GCACUGCUGAGGAGUCUCCUAUUACCGGGACGAAACGGCCGUCCAGUGC
rnacentral:hammerhead_ribozyme from 1 species